rnacentral:rRNA from 1 species
UCCAAUAGCGUAUAUUUAAGUUGUUGCAGUUAAAAAGCUCGUAGUUGGAUUUCGGGUGGGUUUUAGCGGUCCGCCUAUGGUGAGUACUGCUAUGGCCUUCCUUACUGUCGGGGACCUGCUUCUGGGCUUCAUUGUCCGGGACAGGGAUUCGGCAUGGUUACUUUGAGUAAAUUAGAGUGUUCAAAGCAGGCUUACGCCGUGAAUACUUUAGCAUGGAAUAACAUGAUAGGACUCUGCCCUAUUCUGUUGGCCUGUAGGAGUGGAGUAAUGAUUAAGAGGAACAGUCGGGGGCAUUCGUAUUUCAUUGUCAGAGGUGAAAUUCUUGGAUUUAUGAAAGACGAACUACUGCGAAAGCAUUUGCCAAGGAUGUUUUCAUUAAUCAAGAACGAAAGUUGGGGGCUCGAAGACGAUUAGAUACCGUCGUAGUCUCAACCAUAAACGAUGCCGACUAGGGAUUGGCGGACGUUUUUGCAUGACUCCGUCA